UACGUAGGGGGCAAGCGUUGUCCGGAAUCAUUGGGCGUAAAGCGCGCGUAGGCGGCCCGGUAAGUCCGCUGUAAAAGUCCAGGGCUCAACCCUGGAAAGCCGGUGGAUACUGUCGGGCUAGAGUCCGGAAGAGGCGAGUGGAAUUCCUGGUGUAGCGGUGAAAUGCGCAGAUAUCAGGAGGAACACCGAUUGCGAAGGCAGCUCGCUGGAACGUAACUGACGCUGAGACGCGAAAGCGUGGGGAGCAAACAGG
rnacentral:rRNA from 1 species